rnacentral:rRNA from 1 species
UACGUAGGGUGCGAGCGUUGUCCGGAAUUGUUGGGCGUAAAGAGCUUGUAGGCGGUUUGUCGCGUCUGCUGUGAAAUCUCAAGGCUCAACCUUGAGCUUGCAGUGGGUACGGGCAGACUAGAGUGUGGUAGGGGAGACUGGAAUUCCUGGUGUAGCGGUGAAAUGCGCAGAUAUCAGGAAGAACACCCGUGGCUAAGGCGGCUCUCUAGUACGGUACUGACGCUGAGACGCGAAAGCGUGGGGAGCGAACAGG